UACGAGAGGCCCAACCGUUAUUCGGAAUUACUGGGCUUAAAGAGUUCGUAGGCGGCGCAGAAAGUAGGGUGUGAAAGCCCUCGGCUCAACCGAGGAAUUGCGCUCUAAACUACUGUGCUUGAGGAACCUAGAGGUGAGCAGAACAGAUGGUGGAGCGGUGAAAUGCGUUGAUAUCAUCUGGAAUACCGGAGGCGAAGGCGGCUCACUGGGGGUUUUCUGACGCUGAGGAACGAAAGCCAGGGUAGCGAACGGG
rnacentral:rRNA from 1 species